UCAAAGAUUAAGCCAUGCAUGUCUAAGUAUAAACAAUUUAUAUGUGUGAAACUGCGAAUGGCUCAUUAAAUCGGUUAUAAAGUAUUUGAUAGUGAAAGACUAUAUGGAUAGCCAUAGUAAUUCUAGAGCUAAUACAUGCGUAAAGGCCCGACUUUAUGGAAGGGCUGUGUUUAUUAGAUUGAAAACCAACGGUAGCUGGGGAAGUUCGCUUUUCUAGUUACAUUUUUUGGUGAGUCAUAAUAAAUGAGCGAAUCUUCGUUCUCGAAGAUGAAACAUUUCUAUUUCCGCUCUAUCAACUUUGGCGUUAAGGUAGUGGCUUAACGGAGUUUUGACGGAUAACGGAGAAUUAGGGUUCGAUUCCGGAGAGGGAGCCUGAGAAACGGCUACCACUUCUAAGGAAGGCAGCAGGCGCGAAAAUUACCCAAUCCCAAUUAUUUUGGGGAGGUAGUGACAAAAAAUAACAAUACAGUGUCCUUCGGGAUGCUGCAAUUGUAAUGGUCUGGAUGUAAAUUAUCCAGAGAGAAGCCAUUAGAGGGCAAGUCUGGUGCCAGCAGCCGCGGUAAUUCCAGCUCUAAUAGUGUAUACUAAAAUUGCUGCAGUUAAAAAGCUCGUAGUUGAAUUUUAGGCGGGACUGGUUGUCAGUUUGAUUGGGGAUAUUUUUUGUCCUGAAGGGGGUUGACCUUGUAUCUAAAGGCAACCUUUUAACCUUUAGGCGAUGUAUCCUUAUUUAUCAAUCAAGUUGAUUGUUUCGCCAAAUUUUUUUCGGGUUGGCUUUGUCCUCUUCAUUGAGUGGCAAAGUUGAUUCGGAGGAUUUACUUUGAAGAAAAUGGAGUGUUCAAAACAGGCGUUUGCAGCUGAACACAUUAGCAUGGAAUAAUAAAAUAAGACAUCGGCGUUCGGCUACCUUCCGAUUAAGGUUCGUUUCAAUUCCUUUUCGUUCUUCUUUUUCUAUCUUUGGAUUGUUUCUAACAUUCAAGGGUGGGAACUGAGUGUAAUUGAAAAGGAGUUAGAAUUUGAAAGGUCGGAGAUUGGGGCUGAUCUACAGUAAUGUAUUCGUUUUGUUGGUUCAUGGAGUUGAUGUAAUGAUUAAUAGGAAUAGUCGGGGAUAUCCGUAUUGCAUUGUCAGAGGUGAAAUUCUUGGAUUUAUGCAAGACGAACUAGUGCGAAAGCAUUUAUCAAGGAUGUUUUCAUUAAUCAAGAACGAAAGUAAGGGGAUCGAAGACGAUCAGAAACCGUUGUAGUCCUUGCCAUAAACUAUACCGUCUAAGGAUCGGUGGCUAUCACUUUUUAGGAUUCCUCCGGCACUUUUAGAGAAAUCACAAGUCUCUGGGUUCUGGGGGGAGUAUGGUCGCAAGGCUGAAACUUAAAGAAAUUGACGGAAGGGCACCACCAGGUGUGGAGCCUGCGGCUUAAUUUGACUCAACACGGGGAAACUUACCAGGUCCGGACGCGGGAAGGAUUGACAGAUUGAUAGCUCUUUCUUGAUUCCGUGGGUGGUGGUGCAUGGUCGUUCUUAGUUGGUGGAGUGAUUUGUCUGGUUAAUUCCGAUAACGAACGAGACCUCAACCUACUAAAUAGCCAGGUUUCAAGUUAAAGAUUGAGGGGUAACUCUCUUUCCGCUUGAGACUCCUUUUUAUGGUUUCUUCUUAGGGGGACUACCGUAAUUAUUUUAAACGGGGGAAGCAUGAGGCAAUAACAGGUCUGUGAUGCCCUUAGAUGUCCUGGACCGCACGCGCGCUACAAUGAUGCAGUCAACGAGCUUGUUCUGUCCCGAAAGGGUUGGGUAAUCUUUUAAAACUGCAUCGUACUGGGGAUUGAUCUUUGUAAUUCUGGAUCAUGAACAAGGAAUACCUAGUAGGUACGAUUCAUCAGAUCGUGCCGAUUACGUCCCUGCCCUUUGUACACACCGCCCGUCGCUCCUACCGAUGAUUGUUCAGAUGAAAUGCUCGGAUUGUGCGGUUGUGACUGCUUCGGUGGUUGCGUACCGUUCUGGAGAAGAGUAGUAAAUCUUAACAGUUAGA
rnacentral:rRNA from 1 species